rnacentral:lncRNA from 1 species
UGAAUAUAAAGAUUUUGUUAUGGUGUAAUAUAAAUUUGAACUUUUAAGUUCUAAAAAAUAGAAAAAAAUUUAAAUAUUAUCCUUAUAGUUUCAUACUUUCUCACUCUAGCACCAUAUAAGUUGAAGUAUAUUAAUUUAGUGUUCUGUGGUUAUCUAUUUUACUAUUUUUUUUAUUAAAUCAGUUACAAAGUUAAAACUAAAGGAUACUAAAGUGAAUAUUCGAUGUACCUAUGUGGGGUAUCUGAAGAUUUUUGUAUAUAAUUUAAUAAAAUAUUAACGAAAAAGCUAACGAAAAGAUAAAAAUAAAACCAUAUGGGACUAACUUGAUACAAUUUAAACUACAGAAUACUAAAGUGUAAAAAUACGAAACCACAAAGAUGAUAUUUCAAACUUAUCCUAAAAAAUAUAAAUCGUAAGUAGAAAUUUUUACUUUGUAGGAAAAGAAAGUUAAAUGGGAGAAGUUUUAUGUU